rnacentral:rasiRNA from 1 species
CAGAACGUCAUCGAACCCUAGAGGCC